AUUUCUUUCACCUGCUUCCUGGGCUCUUCACCCCAUUUAUCCUUUGAUGAACCACUAGUUUGCUCUAAGAAUACAACCACAUCUCACCCUGCUGUUUUUCUGUGAGUUCCAGACUCUUGCGAUCGGGAGCCGGCCCAUCGGGGGGACUUAUCUGCAAAAUGCGAGUCAACGUGCUGAUCCAUUCCUCCAUGUCUUGUUCACUCUCCGCGGCCAGCACGAAGGUUCAUCCCCAAUGUCAUUUCAGAGGUCAUGUGAACUGGCUAAAAGAAUAUAGUGGCAACCCAGGGGACAGAAGAGGGACAUUCCUGUGGCUGGAAGGGUGCUCCGGGUCAGCUUCCCUGGGACUCGCAAAACUAAAGUUAACUGACUGACAGGCUGAUUUAAAUCAGAGACUCAGCUGGUUAAUUUCUAGUUAACAUGGUGAUUGACAUCAGAAUGAAUGGGAUUGUUCUUAGCAACAAGAGAUAAUAAGAGAUAGUCCCUUCCAAAUUUAGUGGCAGUCCUAAAGCUGCAUUAAGCAUCUUAAAAUAA